rnacentral:rRNA from 1 species
GCAAGUCGAACGGUAACAUGAGAGCUUGCUCUUGAUGACGAGUGGCGCACGGGUGCGUAACGCGUAUACAAUCUACCUUUAACAGGGGGAUAGCCAGAAGAAAUUCUGAUUAAUACCCCAUAAUAUUUAGAAGAGGCAUCUCUUUUAUUUUAAAACUUCGGUGGUUAAAGAUGAGUAUGCGUCCCAUUAGCUAGUUGGUAAGGUAAUGGCUUACCAAGGCAACGAUGGGUAGGGGCCCUGAGAGGGGGAUC